rnacentral:rRNA from 1 species
AACGAACGCUGGCGGCGUGCUUAACACAUGCAAGUCGAACGCGAAAGUUUUCUUCGGAAAACGAGUAGAGUGGCGCACGGGUGAGUAACGCGUAAGUGAUCUACCCCGGCAUCUGGGACAACUACGGGAAACUGUAGCUAAUACCGGAUACGAUUUUAUGAUUGCGGUCAUAAGGAGAAAGGUGGCCUCUGAUUCAAGCUAUCGUGCUGGGAGGAGCUUGCGUACCAUUAGCUAGUAGGUAGGGUAACGGCCUACCUAGGCGACGAUGGUUAGCGGGUCUGAGAGGAUGAUCCGCCACACUGGAACUGGAACACGGACCAGACUCCUACGGGAGGCAGCAGUGAGGAAUGUUGCGCAAUGGGGGAAACCCUGACGCAGCGACGCCGCGUGGAUGAUGAAGGUCUUCGGGUCGUAAAAUCCUGUCAGAUGGGAAGAAAUGUAUAUGGGUUAAUAUCCCAUGUAUUUGACGGUACCAUCAGAGGAAGCACCGGCUAACUCCGUGCCAGCAGCCGCGGUAAUACGGAGGGUGCAAGCGUUGUUCGGAAUUACUGGGCGUAAAGCGCGCGUAGGCGGCUGUUUAAGUCAGAUGUGAAAGCCCACGGCUCAACCGUGGACGUGCAUUUGAAACUGGGCAGCUUGAGUACUGGAGGGGGUAGUGGAAUUCCCGGUGUAGAGGUGAAAUUCGUAGAUAUCGGGAGGAAUACCGGUGGCGAAGGCGACUGCCUGGCCAGAUACUGACGCUGAGGUGCGAAAGCGUGGGGAGCAAACAGGAUUAGAUACCCUGGUAGUCCACGCCGUAAACGAUGUGAACUAGGUGUUGGGAAGGUUGAUCUUCUCAUUGCCGGAGCUAACGCAUUAAGUUCACCGCCUGGGGAGUACGGUCGCAAGAUUAAAGCUCAAAGGAAUUGACGG